rnacentral:lncRNA from 1 species
GCCUUGUCCACCCUCAGGGCUCCCCUUCUUCUGCCCAUCUUUAUUCUUUCUCCUUGUCUUCCUUUAGCUUCUUCCCCAAGCCUCUGGCAGAGACCAAGCUUAGUGCCAGGGUCAGGGAGAAGGCACAAUUUUCUUUUGGGGGAGACUGGGUGGUGUGGAGGGGAUGGGAAAUACAGCGUGGAGGUCAAGAGCAAUGUCUGCUUUCUAGCCAUGUGACCUUGAGCUUCAGUUUCUUCCUCAGGCUGUUGUGAGGAUUCAAAGCUAUUUACAUCACGCUCAGGGCGUCUGCAUGGCACACGGGCCUGUGGUCCAUCUUUCAGUAUCAGAGAAUACGUGACUGUUGGAAGCUUGUUUGCGCAGAAGCACUAGACUGAGCCCGAGGAGGGUGGGGGCUGAGACUGCCUUGUGGACGUCCAUCAUUCCCGAGAGCCUGGCACGUGCGAGUAAAUCAGUGACCAUUUGAAUAAAAGGGUGAAUAGGUG